GACGAACGCUGGCGGCGUGCUUAACACAUGCAAGUCGAACGGUAAGGCCCUUCGGGGUACACGAGUGGCGAACGGGUGAGUAACACGUGGGUGAUCUGCCCUGCACUUCGGGAUAGGCCUGGGAAACUGGGUCUAAUACCGGAUAGGACCACUGCCUGCAUGGGUGGUGGUGGAAAGCUUUUGCGGUGUGGGAUGGGCCCGCGGCCUAUCAGCUUGUUGGUGGGGUGAUGGCCUACCAAGGCGAAGACGGGUAGCCGGCCUGAGAGGGUGACCGGCCACACUGGGACUGAGAUACGGCCCAGACUCCUACGGGAGGCGGCAGUGGGGAAUAUUGCACAAUGGGCGCAAGCCUGAUGCAGCGACGCCGCGUGAGGGAUGACGGCCUUCGGGUUGUAAACCUCUUUCAGCUAUGACGAAGCGCAAGUGACGGUAGUAGCAGAAGAAGGACCGGCCAACUACGUGCCAGCCGCCGCAGUAA
rnacentral:rRNA from 1 species